rnacentral:rRNA from 1 species
GACUGCGUGAAGUCGGAAUCGCUAGUAAUCGCGAAUCAGAAUGUCGCGGUGAAUACGUUCCCGGGCCUUGUACACACCGCCCGUCACACCAUGGGAGUGGGUUGCACCAGAAGUAGCUAGUCUAACCUUCGGGAGGACGGUUACCACGGUGUGAUUCAUGACUGGGGUGAAGUCGUAACAAGGUAGCCGUAGGGGAACCUGCGGCUGGAUCACCUCCUUA